GACGAACGCUGGCGGCGUGCUUAACACAUGCCAGUCGAACGGAAAGGCCCUGCUUUUGUGGGGUGCUCGAGUGGCGAACGGGUGAGUAACACGUGAGUAACCUGCCCUUGACUUUGGGAUAACUUCAGGAAACUGGGGCUAAUACCGGAUAGGAGCUCCUGCUGCAUGGUGGGGGUUGGAAAGUUUCGGCGGUUGGGGAUGGACUCGCGGCUUAUCAGCUUUUUGGUGGGGUAGUGGCUUACCAAGGCUUUGACGGGUAGCCGGCCUGAGAGGGUGACCGGCGACAUUGGGACUGAGAUACGGCCCAGACUCCUACGGGAGGCAGCAGUGGGGAAUAUUGCACAAUGGGCGGAAGCCUGAUGCAGCAACGCCGCGUGCGGGAUGACGGCCUUCGGGUUGUAAACCGCUUUCGCCUGUGACGAAGCGUGAGUGACGGUAAUGGGUAAAGAAGCACCGGCUAACUACGUG
rnacentral:rRNA from 1 species